rnacentral:rRNA from 1 species
UACAGGGGGGGCAAGCGUUGUUCGGAAUUACUGGGCGUAAAGGGUCUGUAGGUGGCCAACUAAGUCAGACGUGAAAUCCCUCAGCUUAACUGGGGAACUGCGUCUGAUACUGGAUGGCUCGAGUGUGGGAGAGGAAUGCGGAAUUCCAGGUGUAGCGGUGAAAUGCGUAGAUAUCUGGAGGAACACCGGUGGCGAAGGCGGCAUCCUGGACCGAUACUGACGCUGAGGAGCGAAAGCCAGGGGAGCAAACGGG